UUUACAUAUGGAUGUAUGUGUACAUGCUUAUAAUUGAUGAAAUCUUAAUGAGAACAUUAGUGGAACAUGAAUCUUUGAUAAUUUUUCUGAUCAGAAUAGUUAUUAACUCCAUGUUCUCCUGAAUUAAUUCCAGAGCUUUAAGACAUGUGAAGAAUAUAAACACCUUUAGGGCAGUGACUAUUUGUUUUUGCAUUUUAUUUAUAUCCCCAGUGGCAAUACAGUGCCUACUACAUAGUAGGCACUCAAAAAUGUGGAAAGUAAGAAAGGUAGAGACAAAGACAGAGACAGAGACAGACAAAGUGGAUGGAUAGAUAGAGGUAUCCAUAUUUUGAUCAGGGAGUUCACUGCUUUUUUGUGGAUCAAUAUGCAAGAAAUAAAAUGAUGUCCGAGAGAUAAUGUGAAUUUGUCUUGUUAUAGAUAACAUCUAAUUGCAUUUAAUGCAAUUAAAAUUAUUCCUCCUAAUAAUUUUUACUAAUUAAUAUUUAACUCCCUGAAAUGAUAGCGACAACAUUGUCAUUACCACAGAAUAUUUGUUUCCCCACCCCAAUUCCAACUACUGAAAUUGACCUCUGCUUCAAGGGUCAGUUAAAAUUUUGCUACAUAUAGAUGCACUUUUCCCCUUUCUCCUAACUACCAAUGAAAAAUAAACUAUUAAAAAUAUGAAUAAAGCUUUAGCUAUGAAAGGACAUCUCUGCAGCCAUCUAGUUAAAUAUCCUAAUUUUUAUAGAUAAGAUAAAGAAACUGAGAUAUAGUUUAGGUGUUGAUUUCCACAAAUAAGUAUUAAACUGUCAUUUCUCCUUCUUCAUAAAGUCAUCCAUCUAGAGAUGAAAGGACCUCAGUGGCUAUGUAGUACAAUUCUCUCAUUUUACAGAUGAAGAAAUGGGGCCCAAGGAAGGGAGGCACCUUGUCCAAGUAUCACAAAGAGGCUGUUCCUGUUAACUCCUUUUGCUGUCACUUCUGCUUACUGUUCCUGAUACUGGGAAGCAGGAUACAGGGAAGAAGUGAGGAUGGAUUAGAAGAAGGAAAAGACUUUGGAACUGAAACUUUAAAAAAGAAUGCUAAAAUGACUUCUAAAUGUAAAGGUUGAAAAAUGUUAUUUUAAUAAAACCAUGGGAUUAAUGCA
rnacentral:lncRNA from 1 species